AUGCCCAGUGAUUUUAAAAAGACGCGUUAUUCUGAGGAACAAACCUGCUGUUCGUCUUUCCCUGCUCUUUGCUCCGUCUACCAUUUCUCUUCUAUCCCUCCUCUCAUCUUCAAACUUAAAGCAGGUCCGCUGACUUAAAUGAUGAAAUAUGAGGGCAU